ACGAACGCUGGCGGCGUGCUUAACACAUGCAAGUCGAACGAUGAAGCCCUUCGGGGUGGAUUAGUGGCGAACGGGUGAGUAACACGUGGGCAAUCUGCCCUGCACUCUGGGACAAGCCCUGGAAACGGGGUCUAAUACCGGAUAACACUUUUCCCUGCAUGGGGAAAGGUUAAAAGCUCCGGCGGUGCAGGAUGAGCCCGCGGCCUAUCAGCUUGUUGGUGGGGUAAUGGCCUACCAAGGCGACGACGGGUAGCCG
rnacentral:rRNA from 1 species